rnacentral:rRNA from 1 species
GUCCUGGCCAUAAACGAUGAUCACUAGGUGUAGGAGGCUUCGACCCCUUCUGCGCCGCCGCUAACGCAUUAAGUGAUCCGCCUGGGGAGUACGGCCGCAAGGUUAAAACUCAAAGGAAUUGACGGGGGCCCGCACAAGCAGUGGAGCAUGUGGUUUAAUUCGAUGCUACGCGAAAACCUUACCAGGGUUUGACAUCCCAGUGUAAUCCUUUAGAAAUAUUGGACCCCUUCGGGCACUGGUGACAGGUGGUGCAUGGUUGUCGU